rnacentral:siRNA from 1 species
AGGUUAGUUUUACCCUACUGAUGC